rnacentral:tRNA from 1 species
GUGCUCGGCUGGAAUUAUAACACAGGACUCUUGUGUGCUAGACGAGCGCUUUACCAGCUGAGCUACCAAACC